rnacentral:antisense_RNA from 1 species
CUUGACCGAGCCGAGCCACAGCGGCUGGUCGGCGGACCGGUCCUGACCGUAGGUCGCCAGCAGUGCCUGCGCCUC